rnacentral:rRNA from 1 species
AUGAGUUAAGUAUAAACCCCUUUACAAGUAACAAUUGGAGGGCAAGUCUGGUGCCAGCAGCCGCGGUAAUUCCAGCUCCAAUAGCGUAUAUUAAAGUUGUUGCAGUUAAAAAGCUCGUAGUUGGAUUUCUGUUAAUAAUUUAUAUUAAUAUACAUUUUUUUUGUAUUUAAUAUGAUAUUAACAUAAUUCAAAUUACUAAUUUUAGUAUAUGAAAUUUUACUUUGAGAAAAUUAGAGUGCUUAAAGCAGGCAAUUGCCUUGUAUACUACAGCAUGGAAUAAUAAUAAAAGAUUUUUAUCUUUUUUUUUUAUUGGCUCUAAGAUAAAAAUAAUGAUUAAUAGGGACAGUUGGGGGCAUUUGUAUUUAACAGUUAGAGGUGAAAUUCUUAGAUUUGUUAAAGACAAACUAAUGCGAAAGCAUUUGCCAAGGAUGUUUUCAUUAAUCAAGAACGAAAGUUAGGGGAUCGAAGACGAUCAGAUACCGUCGUAGU